UACGUAGGGCGCAAGCGUUGUCCGGAAUUAUUGGGCGUAAAGAGCUCGUAGGCGGCUUGUCACGUCGGGUGUGAAAGCCCGGGGCUCAACCCCGGGAGGCGGGUGGAUACUGGUCAGCUCGAGUCCGGAAGAGGAGUGUGGAAUUCCUGGUGUAGCGGUGAAAUGCGCAGAUAUCAGGAGGAACACCAAUGGCGAAGGCAGCACUCUGGGACGGUACUGACGCUGAGACGCGAAAGCGUGGGGAGCAAACAGG
rnacentral:rRNA from 1 species